rnacentral:tRNA from 1 species
GAGAAGAUGGCUCAGUCAGUAGAGUGCCUGCCUUGCAACCAUGAGGACCUGAGUUCAAUCCCCAGCUCUCA